GCCCUCAUAGCUCAGCGGAUUAGAGCACUCCGCUUCGGACGGAGGGGUCGGGGGUUCGAGUCCCUCUGAGGGCG
rnacentral:tRNA from 1 species